rnacentral:lncRNA from 1 species
UGUUGUUCAUUUCACAAAAUUAACACAUUGUGAACAUCUUAAAGUUCGGUUUCAAAGGUUAAAAUUGAACAAGUACUGUAAUCAGAAUAAUAAUGUUCCGAAGACUUAGUGCUGGCAAAAUAGGCUUGGUACUCCCAAAUUUGUUCAAAUAUCAAAAAAGCAAAUAAUAAAUGUCAUCAAGUGUCAUUUAUUCUCAAAAUCUUUCAAAAAUUGACAUCAAACGACCAUUUAGAGAACAAUGCAACUGGGCUAUCCAGAAAAAAUUGGAAUAACCUUUGACAAG